CCUGAAUGAGUUGUCUAAACUUUUGACUGGUGCUGUACAGUGUGGGCUCCUAGUCUUUUGCAUUAAGCAGAGUUAAACUUCCUUGUUCUUUAAAGGGGAACAAUAGGUCUGUUCACUCAAGGGCGUGACAAUAGGUCAUGCCCUUGAGUGAACAAUUCUGUCACUAACUUCAUUAAUCAUUUUGUUUCACGCUCAUUGGUCAGACCAGCAAAAGACAGUAACUACAGUAAAUUGUCACCUGUUUGGGACGGUAUCUUCAUACAGAGUAACCUGAAUUGCUCAACCUCAUUCCUAACACCUUACUAAUGAAUUGGACUGUCAACUAGCAUUCUAUUUUUCAAUACAAAAUGGACCGUUCUGGGACAAUUGCUUUUUAUCUGUAGGCGAAUAGGCAAUGACUUUUCCAUUAUCAGUGUAUCUCAACAGUUUCACACUGUGAUUAUGUACAUUUUGUCAGUUACCAUGUGGUUUUUGGUGACACACUUCCGUGUUCUUGACUGACAUGUUUUUCUUACCACCUGUCACAGCCUCAUCAUGUGGGCUCUAUGUAUAAGARUGACACAUCUAAACCUGAUGCACUACCUUGUCAGGGAACAUUGCGACAAGGGUGAACCUAAAACGUGUGUUAUCUUUAUAAACAAGAACGGUCACAUUCUUAAACACCUUACUACUAGGGAGUCUUAAUAAGUCAGUCAACUAAGUUACAACGGGUGUCAGUUGCCUCCAUUUCAGAUGAUUUUGUACUCGACUAGAACACAGGGUGUCACAGUUUGUAUGUUUUGGUUAGAUCUGAACGUUAGUAAUGGACAGUUACACCGAUUUCAGUUUGACAACCCAUUCUGAAGACUAGUGAGAAGCUACAGUCAUGAUGAGGAGCACUGCGCUGUUCUGUCUCCUGUCCGUCUCAGGACUGUGUUACCUGACUCUCAGUAUCUCCCCUCCUCAGUAUCACAUAUAUAGCCUUCAAAUGAAUUAUAGCCAAGCCCAGACUUACUGUAGAGACAUGUACCUGACUUGGCAACCAUCUCAAACUCAGGGGAUCUGGAUAGACUUGUACAAUUGGUACCGAAUGGUACAGCCAGUGUAUGGAUAGGACUGGAGUUUGGAGAAUUUGAGUGCGCUGGUCAUUCCAGAUCAGAGAAAGAUUGAGUUUUCAACUGGAGGGCAGCAGAGCCGAACGAAGAACAAUACUCAAGACAGCUGUGCUGCAAUGGAUCCAAACGACAGUGGUUUGAGGAUAACUGCCAAAUCAAAAGAGGUUUUGUUUGCUUUGAUGGGUGAGUAUCCUACAUCUAUUCUUUAUAGCAAUUUCAACCCCAUAUCAGAUUCAAACCAGGGCCGAUUCCAGGAUAUAGUCUGGUGGGCAGUCAGACAUUUUUUGCCUGUUUUAAAGCUUGCUGACUACAUGACUUGGGUAUAAUCAGUUGGGUGAUUACGUGAGCAUAAUGAUUUUUUACUUGCUAUUUGUAUUUA
rnacentral:lncRNA from 1 species